GGCACACAGAGCCUGGUGAUGGGACUGGAGGGGGUAUCCCUACUGUUGUGCAAGGCGGCAAUAGGGAUGUCCCAGGUGAGGACGGAGCGCCAGUGCGCCCUCCGUUCAGGUAGAGGCAGUAAGAGGGAAAUUCUGCUGCCUUCUUCAAAAGUUGAAGCGCUCCCGAGAUGACUUGGACGGCCCGUGGGGACAAAUGAUUAAAAGAGACGACGUGGUUUGCUUUUGUUUGUUUGUUUGUUUGUUUACUUCUUUGAAAUCGUCGUCUUCUGAAAGAAAUAAGGCAGCUGUAUUGCAGGAAGGGGUGGAGGGAUAAAGGAUGGUGCUGAUGCUGGUCAAAAGCUUUUUCAUUGAUGGAGCAGUAAAAGCAGAGUAAGAGGCGGAUUAGGACAAGGCAGUCUUGGACAGGAAUGACCUCAGCUCAAAAUGCCUAUAACCACCGAGCUUAUGCUUUCCAGAGGGACUUUGGAUAUUUUUAGAUCUGAGAGGUUUGUUCCUGCUUUCCGUUAAUUAAAAAAAAACUAUACAGGAGAUAGCCAUAAUGGUUUUCUGUUCAGAUUUCUGUGAUGUAUCUUAGAAGUGCCUUCACGUUUCUGGUGAAAUUAUUAGCUCCGUUUAAGGCCAGCUUAUAUGGAAACAGUUGUAUUUGAACAUAUUUUUAUCCCACCACAUCUGAAUGGUCUUUUAAAUCAAAAGCAAAUGUAAAGUGUAAAAUAAAAUAGGAAAAAAUAAAUUGCAAUCAUUAAAACUAAUUCAGAAACUUAUUUUAAUUAAAACAAUUGUAUUAGUUUUAUUUAUUUAUUUGUGGAGUACGUAUUAGAUAAUAUGUAUAAGCAUGACUUGAAUACAUAAAAUGAAUAGAAUUAAGGGGAACAUCAGGACAGGGACACUGGUUCUCUUAUGCACGCCUCUUAGGAAUGGGGUGAGGUCAACAGUAGCCAGUCUAAGGUUAAAAUUUUGGGGCUUUUGGGAUGAAAUCACAGAGUCAGGUAGUGCAUUCCAGGCAUUGACCACUCUGUUGCUGAAGUCAUAUUUUCUGCAAUCGAGUUUGGUGCGGUUUACCUUACGUUUAUAGCUAUUGUGUGCUCAUGUAUUGUUGUGGUUGAAGCUGAAGUAGUCAUUGACAAGUAGGACAUUGUAGCAGAUGAUUUUAGGAGCUAUGCUUAGGUCAUACCGAAGGCGGCGUAGUUCUAAAUUUUCUAAGCCCAAAAUUUCAAGUCUGGUGGCAUAAGGUAUUUUGUUGUGAGCAGAGGAGUGUAGGACUCUUCUUGUGAAAUAUUUCUGGACACGUUCAGCUGUAUUAAUGUCCGAUAUACAAUGCGGGUUCCAGACAGACGAGUUACCUUAAGACUUUUAAGGACCUCUCUUGUAUUUCAGACCCAGAAAUUUAGCAAGUAUUAUAAGUGAUUAUUAAGUCUUUAAUCCCAUGGAGAUUUACUCCAAGGUAAGUGAAUGUAGUGUGUUUUGAGCAUAAUCAUAGCAGAUUUAAACUUUGCAAGCCCAGCUAAAGUAAAUACCAAUAAGCAUUGUUAGCUUCUUUCUCUCUCUCACUUGGUUGUAGAUAUCUGAGCUGUUCAGUCAUUUUUCAUUUCUCAAGCUACAACUAAGUUAACUGUUAAACUGUUGUGUCUUAUGAAACUGAAUAAACCAGGCCUGUUUUACAACAAAAUGGAAUGGGAUUAAAGGGAAAAUAUAUAGUAUUGUAUCAUGACCUAAAGCUGGUAGCAGCACCUAAUCAAUGCUAGCUGAACUUGAAAAAUAGUAUUCAGGAUUGAAUCAAGAAAAUACAGGACUAUAGACUGGAUUGAGAAUUUAAGUAAACAUCUAGAAAUAAGGCAAAUUGAUACCUGUAAUACUGCCAAGAAAAACUCAGCCAUAAGCAUGUAAUCACCAGGAAUCAAAAGUCAGUUUGGUGGAGUUUGAUUUUUUCAUCCUGAUAUUGAGGAUAAUAUGAACUGUUCCAUUAAAAUUUUAGCUAUCAGAAGCAUUUUUCACUGGUCCAUUUAAAAACUAAAUUUUUAAAAGUCUGAUAUAGCAAAGAAAAAGACAAAUUCUUCUCCUUGCUUACUCCUUGGUAUACAUGUGGGAAUAUACAUGUAUACCAAAGUGACCCACUUGAUUUUGAGCCUAAAGCAGGACUAGAAUUCACAGUAUCCCUGAUUGUAGCCUGGUGCCUUAAUUACUACACCAGACUGGCUCCCAGAAAUAUUUUGCCCCUUCAUGUGUUGUACAGCAUUAAAAUUCUAUUCCUACUCCUGUAUGCUUAGCCUGUAUGAGAGAGAUGAGUAUUCAGUCUUUUGAACAUCAAAGCAAAGUAUGUUUGAAGUUAGAUCCUAUUUAUGUUGAUUGCUGCAAAACAGACUUAAAAAGCAUUAGACUCUUACUUUUGGAGAUAACUGAAAUUUGGAAGAUACAUUUUAGAAUUUUAAAAACUUAAGACUUUUACAUCAAAAUCCAGUUUUUGAUAUACAACUAAGACUGGCCAUACAUAAAUCAUCAGUCUGCUGAACCAGUAUUCCAUUCUUGAGACAUCACAAAUCAUAACAUUAAAUUACAAAAUAAAAUAAAUGAGUUAUUUAUAUUUUUUCUAAAUAAUUGUGCCUAAUUAGCCCGCAACUUAUAAAAAAUGACAAACUUUAACAUUUAGUAUUGAAAAAACAUAAUUCUCAAAUUUUAUUUUAUUGGCAUAUUUAUGUAUUCAUUUUACACAAUUGUAGGAUUAAGGUGGCAAAAGAUUCAGAUUCAAAAGGGAAAAAGUAUGUCAGAGUAUGUUGGAAUGCUCAUAAAUCAUUUGUUGACAACUUUUUAAAGCAGCUGCAUCCUGUGAAAAGAUAUUUUCUAGAUGCCAACUGGACCUGCUUAUAUGCUCAUACUUGAUCCAAACUAUCUUUUCUCCUUUGAAGAUGAUAUGCUAUAAAUUCUAUGUGAUAGUAGCAUUAAAGUGCUCAGUUUUGGCAAGGUAAUGCCUGUAAUACCUAUUGUUUUGGGUUUAUUAUUAUGCUUUAGAUUUUAUACAGUAUUAUUUUUAUGCUUUAAAUGUACAAGAUUUGGAGAAUGUAUUUUAUCAAAAUCUUAGAAAUGUAAAUAAAUAAGCUAAUAAAUAGUGGUUGUCCGUACUCUACUACAUAAGACUAUAUAAACUACAUUUUACAGUAUGUAAACCCUGAGAUCUGUUUAUAUUAUAGCUUUGGAUGUUUGGUCAUACCUCAAUUGUUGUAGCUUGGAACAACAUAUUUUUGUUGAUUUCUACCCAUGCCAUCACCAGAUUUUUUUUAGAGAGGAGAUUUAUGUACCAAGCUUAUCCAUAAAUGAAAUAUAUGGUUAUAGCAAUAAAUGAAAAUAAAUUUAAUAUGCUUCAUGAAAUAUAAACCUAUGCUUUAUUAGAAUAUGUUGCAACUAGGUUUUAUAUAAUGUCUGUAAUCAAUAUGUCAUGAAAAUGUCAAAAGCAGUAUGUUCGUAACCACAUUCUGAAUAUUAUGUGCCUUUAAAAAUCUAGAAGCCACUGCAGUGAAAGUGGAAUAUUAUUACCUAUAUGAAGUAUUAGAGUCUAUGAGAUUACUCAAGAAUUGUGGGCCUAUUGAGGAUUAUGUGGAAAUGGGACAGCAAAGAAGUUAGUAUUGCUAUGACAAGACCAUCACUGCCAGAGUAGAAACACUGAAUGUUACUUCCUGGCACUUUGUAGAAGGCAAGAAUUUGAGUAUGAUGCACCUUAGUGUUGUCAGACGAGCUGAUAAAGAAUAUGUCAGACACAGAUAUUUUUUCUAAGGGGAUUUCAGACAAUAGAGGAAAGCAGUUGAUUAAUCAAACUUGAUUAAUCAAACAACUAUAGCUGUCUGCAACUAUAGCUGUGACAACAAAAGCCAUUCUGUUUGUCUUCAAAGAUACAGAAUCAGUGUAGAGUCAGAUUGCUACAUCUAUUCUGAUUAUCAAUUGUCACCCACAACAAUUUAAGGGAAGCAAGUAGGAAAUAAUUUCACACUGUGUAUUUUAAAAGGACAGUGUUUCAUUAAAUCCCACAUAAUUCAAACUAACCUUUCAUUCCUGGCAUAUGGGAAAAUUCUUGGAGAUCAUUGUGUCACUUUCUUCACUAUAAAGAUGGACGUUGAUUUGAGAGACAGGGACAGAUAAGCAUGGAGAGAAGGUGGCUGAGUGCCUGUUGCCAAAAUGAGCCUGAAGGAUGAUUGGUCUGAGCAUUCUAAAUCUAUGUUAUUUUUUUCCUAUUUGGUUUUUCAUUUAUAUCACUCUGAACAGUUUAGCAUAGCCAUGGUAUGUCUUUUACCACCCGCACCUGAACAUACAGUUGUUUUAUAGCAGCUGUGUUCAGAGAGUAUGGGCCAGCUAAUUCGGAACACAAGAUUAUGUUUCCUUUUUUUCCUUUUCCCUAAUUUAUUUCUCAUUUUGUGUUUUUCUUCUUCUUCAGGAUUUUGGCUUGGUUUCCUUUGCACUGAAUUCCCUGAGAUUUGUAAUUCUAUCAGUGUCUGAAGGACUAAUUUAUUUUUCUGCUUAUCCAAAUCUUCUUUUGACCAUUGCAAGGACUUAAUUAAUUUCUUUCCUACAGUCUAAAAAUGCACAGUGCUGUUUCCUUUUGUUUCAUCGAGUUCUAGUUGCUGCUCUGUCUUCUACCACAUAUCAGUGUUGGCCAGCUUAGAAUUAAUGAGGACAACUUCUUCCAAAGAAUAUCUGCUUUUUUUCCUUUUAACCAGUAAAAGAAAAUUGUUCUUCCUGUCUCCAUCUAGAUUUCAUAUAUUGUUUAACAUAUACUACCACUUUAUCCUCACUGCAAAUUUUCGAUAAACUCACUGUUUAGAAAGAAAUAGCAAUUGUCUUAACAGGUUAUUCUUGUUCCUUUCAGCAGAUAUUGUCAAAUUAAUGUGUUCUGCAUAUUUAUACCUAGGCAUAUGAAGUCUCAUUGAACUCAAAGAUAAGCUUUUUUUUUAAAUAGGUAGGAAUAAUGCAUAUACAUAAUAAAAUGGUACCUGUUUGCUAGAAUGAAAGAUACACAUACUGUAAAUAAUUGAAAUUACAUUGAACUAAAAUAAAUUAAAUCAUGUUUUAAUAAAUGUAACAAAGAGAAAAAAAUACCUGAAUUUAUAAAGUGACCAUAACUAGAAACUUUACAUUCCACAUUCCCUGAGUUUUUCUGUGCAACAAUAUAGAAGUACUUUGCUUUUACCAUUAUCUUCUGUGAGAUUUUUUAAAAUUCUAACACUUGUUUAAUUUUUUGUGAUCAACCAGAUUAGCUAAUUUCAAAAUUAGAUGAUUAUUGGUUUUAGAGAGGAAUCAGUUGAUGCCAGAAUAAUACCACACCCUUCCAUUCUAGACCAUGCCUAAUUGAAUUGUGGAUAGAAUUCUGGGAGUUGAAGUCUGUGUAUCUUCAAAUAGCCAAGUUUGAGAGCACUGGCAUAAAUAUGGCUGGAUGAGCAGAUCUAUCCUAAAGGUAGUCAAUAUAUAUGGAGAAGUGUUUUAAUAAAACACUUGGUUUUUAAUAGUGAAAUCAUGGGUUCAAUCACUAUCAUUUCUAGUAAAAGCAAUCUGAAAUAUUACAAAAUAUUUUAUAUUGCAAAUCCUUCAAACUAAAUUAUGAUAGUAUUCAGACAUUAAAAUACCAGAUGAUUUGCUUGGUUUUGUCUUGGCAUGUUGCACAUAUUGCUAUGUGUGAAACAGCAUUCAAAAUAGUAAUGUUGCUCUGGAACAUCACUGAAAUUUAUGGCUAUGUCUGUUUCAAUGGGAAAACGGUUUGAUAAAAUUAUUUUAAAAUUUAUAUAUGUGUGUGUGUGUAUAUGUGUAUAUAUGUAAGUGUGUGUGUAUGUAUGUAUCUAUCUAUAUACAUACACACUCAUACAUACACACACACACAAACUUUUUUAAAGAUAAAGUUUAUCCCAACAACAUACAAAGCAGUAGUAAAAGAAGAAGCCAAAUAGUAUAGAAUGAUUAUUUUUCCCGCUUGCACAUUAUAAUACAUCUGUAAUUGUAAGAGGAGAUUCCAUAUUGGCAAGAUUGAUGUCAGAGUAUUUCAUUACUACAUUUAGAGUAAGAGCAAGUAAACAAACUUAAAAAUAUGCCAGCCAUAUUAUCUUUUCAAUCAUCCAGGAUAAAAAUCUCCUAUUUUUGAUUGUUGAAGUAUACGCCUACUAGAUUUGCAAACACUUCAAGAAUGCAUAGAUCCAUGUACUGAUCAGCUGCAUUCAGAAAACCUUACUGCAGCUGGUUGUUUAUUAUCAUGUCUCCCAUUUCUUUCGAAGUGAUAGGUCUAUGCUCAGGAUUCAGUAUGUAGAGGGUCCUCUAUUAAAGUAUUUAUUCAUUUAUUUAUUUUAUUUUAUUUUGUCACUCAGUAUAUAUUAUAAGCAUAAGCAAAUAGAAAAGCUUGGAUGAAUAAGGGAAUUGUGUGGACUUCAGAAAUGGUGAAGGGGAAACAAUAAUUAUAUACACAAUUAUGUACAUAAAAAAAGCUUUUGGAUGUGGUAAGAUGUAGCUCAUAUAUUUAUCUUCUUAUUGAUUAUCUUACAUAGCUCAUAUAUUUAUCUUCAUAUAUUUAUCUUAUUGUUGCUGAUAUAUAUCUGUGAAGGAGGAACUGGUUGCUAUUUAUGUUUAUAUAUUGUAUUUGUAUUUGUUAAUUGUUAUAUGAUGAGAUCUAUUUGUUUAUUUUUGUAUGCUAUUUGCUGCUCAGAGUUACGUUUAUUUGAAUUGGGUAGCCAUAUCAAUAUCAACCUUAAGAACAAACAAGCAAAGCAUAGCCUAUGUAAUACAGGUCCUUGACUUACUAUCUGUUUAAUGACCAUUUGAAAUUACAGUGGCACUGAAAAAAGUAACUUACAAUUGUUUUUCACUCAACUGAUGCAGCAUCCCCAGAGUCAUGUGAUCAGAAUUUGGAUGCUUAGCAACUAGCAUAUAUUUAUGAUGGUUGGAGUGAAUCCUGAGGUAAUGUGAAAACCUUUUCUGACCAGCAGAGUCCAUGGGUAAGCCAGAUUCACUUAACAACGAUGUUACAAACUUAACAACCGCAGUGAUUCACUACACAACUGUGGCAGGAAAGAUCAUAAACUGGAAAAUUCAAUGAACAACUGUCUUGCUUAUCAGUGGAAAUUUUGGGCUCAAUUGUGGUCAUCUGUCAAGGACUACUUGUACUAUUGCUUCAGAAUUAAUUUUUUUUGUUUUAUUCAUUCAAUUUCUAUAGCUUCCCAAUUCAGCCAGGGGACUUUCCUUUUGAAUAGUUCUGCUGUAAGGGAUCUUAUUUUUUCUUACAGGAUUAGCAAGAUUAGAAGAGUCUUUCCAUUGUGAGCAAGAGGCCAGAUCACAUAUUCUCCAGCUAUCCGUAGAGGAUGAAAUUUUCUCAGAAUUGCUAUUGUAUUCUUCAAGUUCAGUCUUCCUUAUUAAUUCUUUCUGUUGAUGACAACUACCCUACUGAGUGAAUGAAGCAGUGCUUAUCUCUCCAGCUGGUAGAAAGUAGGAAUGAUGUCACUGUUUGUAUAUGCUGGGUUAUGGUCUGCCCACAAAUUACCGUAUUUUUCGGAGUAUAAGACGCACCGGGGUAUAAGAUGCACCUUAAUUUUUGGAGAGGAAAAUAAGAAAAAAGCUGAUUGGCAGGUGGAUUGGCCUCCUGGAAUAUCUCCAAUCAGCUGUUCCCAGAGGUGAAUUUUAGCAACAAGUUCCUUGGUUGUGAGCUCUGUGCCUUGCUUAUUUCUGAUAAUGUCAUACGGGAAUUUAUAUUAAAUCAACUAAAUUACAUGGAAUUUAGAGGUACAAGACAAGACUGUCUGUUAUCACCACUACUUUUUAUAUUAUCAUUACAGAUUUUGACUAGAGCAGUUCAAGAAGAUAAACAAAUUAGAGGUUUAAAAAUUAGGAAAGAAAUUUUCUAAGUACAGACUUUCGUGGACGACUUUGUCUUCAUUAUUGAAAAGCCCAUGCAAUCUGGUGUAAGGCUGGAGUGUAUGGGGAGGUAGCAGGCCUAAAGAUAAAUAAAGACAAAAUGAAAAUGUUAGUAAAAAAUAUGACUGAAGUGCCAAAAAAAAAAAGAAUUGGAGGAGAAAAUAAACAUUCAGAUAACAAUUUUUUUUUAGCUAGCUAGGAAUUCAGUUGACCUCAAGAUGCAUCACACUCAAAUAAUAAACUAAUAAACUAAUUGGACAAAUCAAAACAGACUUAGAAUGGUGGAAAAGUUACAACUCUCCUUGAUGGGGAGGAUUGCUACUAUUAAGAUGAACAUUUUACCUAAAAUAUUAUUCCUAUUCCAAUGUAUACCACUUUGGCUAAAAAAAGUUUUUUUUUAUAAAUUUGAAUAAAAUUGUAUCAAAAUUUAUA